rnacentral:rRNA from 1 species
GCUGAGCGUAUCGACCCAGCCGCCGCCGGAGGGUCUGAUCCAGCAGCAAUGAACCGCUUUCGCGAAAUGGAUUGCAAACGUAAGUGCUUGAAGUGGUUGUAACUUACGCGCAAGCCGGUAGAAUGGCGCGGCCUACCCGAGGGUAGGCUGCAAUGGUGGCCCUGUCGGUCCCCCCGCAACGAUUACCCGUCAACCUGGUCAGGUCCGGAAGGAAGCAGCCACAGCGGGAACAUCGUGUGCCGGGGUGUGGCUGGCGGGGCCGCCUCCAUUUCAGGCCCGCCAUUUUCCGCACGCCGCCGCCGCUCUUAUCGGUAGCGCUGCAGUAUCUCCUCGAUCUCUCCGCUGCGCUUCAUUUCCUCGAACGUCUUCAGUAUCGCUUCCACCGGAACCUCUGCGGAGUCCCGCACCAUGCAGCUCACCGCCGUCUCUUCGAGCUGCGCGGCUUCCUGGAGUGGCGGCUGCCCCGGCGCCUGGCGGUUGCUCCAGUGCAGCGACAGUUGAUGGCUGACCGCGUAGCGGUAGCGGCCGGCGCGCAGCUUUUCCAGCACCAGAUCCUGGGUGCGCGCAUCGUCGCGGCGCAGUCGGCCGAUGUCGAACAGCGCUUGCAAGCGGGGAUAGCUGUAGCCAAGGACGGUACCGAUACGCUGGGCCGGCAGCGCCUCGGGAAUCGGCGCGAAGCCUUCGCGGGCGACCAGGAUGUCGCGUUGCACCAGCAGCGCGACGCUCCAGCGAUAGCCGGGGAAGUCGUGGCUGAGCCAGGCGGGGCUGAUGUAGCAGCGGACAUCGAUUUCGCCAGCGUUCAUCGCCUGCUCGAUGCGCCCGCGCGGGUAGGGGUGGUAGAGCGCCUUGCGGCCGACCUGCCGGGCAAGGGAGCGGGUGAUGUCGUAGACGAUGCCGUCGAUCGGCUGGCCCCGUUGCAGGCGGACCAACGGCAUGCUCCAGCUUUCCAUCACCGAGAAGCGCAAUGGCGUCGCGUCGGUCUCCGCGGCCGUCGCUGGCAGGGCCGCGAGCAACUGCAGCAGGAGCAGCGCAGGUGCGCCGAAAUGAGGCAUGAACGAUGUCAGGGAAGGUAGAGUCAUU